CUGGAGACUAGAAGAGUAGGGUUAAGGCAGGGCUCAAAGCCUGCAGGUUCUCUUUAGUAGAGCAGGCCAUACAAUAGAAAAUGCAGGACCCCAUGCAAAGCCUUUGUGCUUCUAGGAUCCCCUCGCUACAUGGACAAGGCUCAGGGUACCUCCCCUUAGACCAGGUUUCCCUAUAGGCCUGCUGAAGCGUCUGGGGGUCAGCUGGCUCUCAGAACUGGGCAAAAGGCAGUGCGCCACCUGGAAGCAGUUCUAAGGGUGAGCAGGAAGGGCAGGUGCACUCACUUGAUAUGCUGGAGCCUGUGGUUUCCAGACAGUGCUGUGGCAAUGCAUAUCGCCCCGUCCAUCCCCAGAGAAUUCUCUUGAAGACUAAGUGGAAAAGAGAUGGAGACACACGGUGAGCCAUCAGGGCAGAAGGAAAACACCCGGGGAAGCAACAGUGCAUUGUCUGGGGGCAGUAACCCAGGCAGAUGUGUCCACAGGUGCCAUGGCAACUCCAGGUGGGAGUUGACCCUGGAGACAGGUGUCUACGAGUGGCCAGAUUGUCCCACGCAAGUGCGCUGGAGGAUGUAAGGCCAUAAAUGCAAGAUGUGAGUGACUUCUGACUGAAGCUAAGCACACUCAACAAACCCAGCUGCAGUGGAAUGUGGACUAUAAUAAGUCUGAUUGUUUAUAUUCAGAAGGAAAUAGCUACAGAAGAAAUCAGGAGCAUUUUAUUCCAUCAGGGAGGACCCAGCAGAGAACUCUGCUGCUCCAGGAUGCAGGUAGGUCCCUCCAGCCACUUACUUGAGUCUCCGGAGACUUGAGUUUACCUUCAGAGCAUUUGCCAGGGCUUUGGCUCCAGCCACCCCAAUGGCAUUUCCUCUUAAGCUGUUGGGAAAGACAGGAAGCCUAAGGCAUGGGUACAGGCUGAGAGGUGAUACUGACCCCUCUGCGGGUGGGCUUGGGGCUGCUUGGUAGAGGAAACAAGGACUUCAGCAGUCACAGGAGGCCAGGGCUGUGCCUUCCUCACUCCAGGGCAACAGGGCAGAGCUGGCUCUGGGAAGCAGGGCACACAGGGGCAUGGCUGGCCUAGCCAGGAGGGUUGUUGGAGCCUUCCUCCUCUUCCAUUUCAAACAGAAAAGCGGGGCUGAGACAGGAGAGGCAGCCCUCCAUCUGGGCAGGUCCCCAGUGCUCCCAGCAAGGGCAGGAAUUCUGAGGACAUGCCUGAGCCUCAGAGCUGUAACCUCACCCCAGGACUUUGGAUCUGCCCAGAGAACAAGAUCAGCCCCCCUGGGACCCAUAAACCAGGCCUCUAGACGUGUUCAGCCUGGCAAGGCCAACCCGGAGAGGAGGGCAAAUGAUAGCGACUCCCAGGGAAAGGCAUGAAGUGGGGCUGGGAAACUGGUAUACUUGCACUGAAAUGAAGAUCACCAGGAUGAUUUGUGAGUUGUCUGUAAACUUUGUCCCCAUAUCUAUUCAUUGAGAAUUCAUUGAUUUCUUUGGGCUAAAGACCAUAGAUGGAGACUGGAAUACUUACUCGAGAAUCUCCAAGGUUCUGUUCACAGCCAAGGCUUCCCCUAGCACCUGGGCGCCUGAAGCACCAAUUGAGGCCACCUGGAGACUGGGGCGGAGAGGGUGCCGUCAGUGUGAGCCGGCUGGGCCCACCUCCCUCCGCAUACUCCGUUCCCUUUCACCACCCCUUGACUCAGGAUGGAAAGUGGAGAAACAGCACUGAGAAUGGUUGGCCAGCGCUGUGUCUAGGCACUCCAUCUCCUACCUACACUGUCUGUUGCCUAAGACAGAGAUCUGGAUGCUAAGGAGAUGAGAAAUAGAGGCUGUCCCUGGAAGGGCUCGGGGAGAAUGCUCCCUGUACCUCCUCAUUACUACUCUCUAGGUGUUUGAGCCCCCAACUGCUAAUAUCAUAUUUCCUAUAUUAGGAAAAUCAAACACACCUUCCUUGACUUGUAAACAAAAAUAACGUCCAGGCCAGGUGUGGUGGCUCACACCUGUAAUCCCAGCACUUUGGGAGGCUGAGGUGGGCAGAUCACCUGAAGUCAGGAGUUUGAGACCAGCCUGGCCAAUAUGGUGAAACCCCGUCUCUACUAAAAAUACAAAAAUUAGGCUGGGUGUGGUGGUGCACGCCUGUUAUCCCAACUACUGUAUGGGAGGCUGAGGCUUGAGAAUCACUUGAACCCAGGAGGUGGAGGUUACAGUUAGCUGAGAUUAUGUCACUGCACUCCAGCCUGGGUGGCAGAGCAAGACUCUUGUCUCGAGGAAAAAAAAAAAAAAAAAGACCUCUAACGUGAAAGGAUGGCGAAGGGACCGGUUUCCUGACUGCUGCGCACAUCUAGGACUUACUAGAGAGCAGUGAGGGCUGUGUUGACCUUCAGUGCACGGGCCACCGCACACGCUCCGUCAUCCCCGAUGGCGUUCUCCUGUAAACUAGACACAGAGUAUGACCCCUUUGGGUGCACGGGGCACAGGGAGCAUUCUAGCAAGGCCCUGCCGCACUUGGACCUGCCAGGUUUAACCGACUACACACACCAUAGACACUCCCAGGGUUUCCUGGGGAUAACUGCCCUUCCUCCACAGGCCCUGCAGCCCGCCGCCUCAUACUAAGCACACAGAGGCGUCUGGGGCCUGCAUGAGUCUGAACCGCCAGAGGCAAGCAGGAAAUGGGACAUAUAGAGUGACUGUCAGCAGGGGCUUGGGACCCAAAAGGGGAUGCUUUUCACAGCCAACCAGAAAAUGAACUUAAAGCCCUCAAUCCCUGAGCCAUUCUUGUUUGUCUUGUUUUCUCUUGAGACAGGGUCUCACUCUGCCACCCAGGCUGGAAUGCAGUGGUGAGAUCACGGCUCACUGCAGCCUCAACCUCCCAGGCUCAAGCGAUCCUCCCACCUCAGCCUCCCGAGGAGACUAAAGUACUUAACUAGAGACGGGGACUACAGGCACAUGCCCCCAUGCCCGGCUAAUGUUUUUAUUCUUUUAUAGAGAUGGGGUCUCACUAUGUUGCUCAGGCUGGUCCUGAACUCCUGGGCUCAAGCAGUCCUCCCACCUUGGCAUCCCAAAUUGCUGGCAUUACAGGCAGGAGCCACCACGCCCAACCUCCUUGGCCAUUCUUGCUAAUUAGGGCUUUGUGUCAUUUUUUCCCCUUCUAAGUUGGAGGGAACUAGCAGGCCCUGGUGCAGUGAGUGACUGAGUUUAGCUCAAGCGCACACUGGUAUGUUCAAGGCCAAGAGCUGUUUGCAUUCAUUAUUUUAACAGACAUUUGAGUGUGGCCGGGCGCAGUGGCUCACACCUUUAAUCCCAGCACUUUGGGAGGCUGAGGUGGGUGGAUCACUUGAGGUCAGGAGUUCGAGACCAGCCUGGCCAACAUGGUGAAACCCCGUCUCCACUAAAAAUACGAAAAUUAGGCUGGGUGGGUGUAUUUUUAGUAGAGACAGGGUUCUCUGUCUCUACUAAAUUAGCUGGGAGUGGUGGAGGGCACCUGUAGUCCCAGCUACUGGGGAGGCUGAUGCAGGAGAAUCACUUGAACCCAGGAGGUGGAGGUUGCAGUAAGCCGAGAUCCCGCCACUGCACUCCAGCCUGGGCGACAGAGUUAGACUCCGUCUCAAAAAAUUAAAAUGAAAAAAAAAAUAAGAAAGACAACAUUUGAGUGUGUCUCAUGUGCUAGGUGUUGUAUAAGGCAGCAGGCCUGAGUCCCCCUCUCGAAGCUCAGGUGGGAAGACAUGAUUAAAUGAGCAGGUACAACAGGCCAAGUGCAGGCUGCAGGGAAAAGCAAGCAGCAUCUCCCACCCCAGGGUGUCAACAGAAGGCUCCCAGAAGAAAUAGGUCAAAACCCGAACCCAAAGUGGGGAGUGUGCCUGGCUCAGCUAAGGAACCCAAACGAAUUGAAUUCCUGGGGAAGUGAGAAAUGAGUCCAGGGAGGGACAAAGGAAGCAGAUUUUAGGGGUCCCAGAAGCCACCCUGAGGGGCUGUGUGUACUUUACUCUGCAGGCCCUGGGCAACCAUUCAAGGAUGGCACCCAAGAUGGGACAGAGCUGCUCUGGAAAGGUCUCUGGCCAGCAGUGUGAGAGGAUGGACUGAGGUGGAGGCUACCACAGGGAUGGAGGAGUCUUAGAACCUGCUCCAAAUGAAGUAUGGAUAUUAUGUCCAGAUGCUACCCAGGGGCUGAAUCAUGGGAAUCAGGGAAGAACAGACAGAGAACUUCAAUUCACAGCAUUCGUCCAGGCCACCUCUGUAUAAAUGUUCUCAAAUUCUAGAGUGCUUCCAUCCCUCUGGGACUUUUAUGGCAUUUUAUAAGUUGUAUUUAACUUCUAGGUGAAAUAGGGAUGUGGCACUGAGGAUCAACUACAGAGAGAGGUAAAGAAGAGCAUGUGGCCAGAGAAGAGAUUUUUGGCUUCAUUCAGAAUAAUUUACUUUUAUUUUUAUUUUUAGUAAAGAUGGCAUCUUGCCAUAUGUUUGCCAGGUUGGUCUUGAACUCCUGGCCUUAAAGAAUCUCCCCACCUUCCAGAUUGCUAGGAUUAUAGGAAGGAGCCACUGUGCCUGGCCCCCGAAUAAUUUCUGAGCACUACCUAGUCUGCUUUAAGCAAAACUAAAAGUUGGCUAUUUUGUCAUGUGCUAAAAAUGCAGGAGGCGCUCACAGAG